rnacentral:misc_RNA from 1 species
UUUUAUGUAUGUUACUUCAGAACUUUUGACUGGGUAGACCGAUUUCGACAAAUUUUGUUUUAAUCGAAAGGUGGUGUGUGCCAAUUGGUCCCAUCUAAAUUUAUUUGAGAUCUAACAACUACUUUUCGAGUUAUAUCUAAUAAUGCGUUUUUACUUGACGCUUCUUUCGUCGACCUACGUUGUAUUAUACCGCAUAACUUUCUACUGGAUGUACCGAUUUUGAUAAUUCUUUUUUUGUUGGAAAGGGGAUAUCCCUAGUUUGGUACCGUGAUAAGGACACUAGGAUCUGAUGAUGGGAUCCCAGAGAAAUCGAGGGAAACUCUCAAAAA